rnacentral:misc_RNA from 1 species
UGUGGCUGUCUUCGUUUUCUUUUUUUUUGUUCGUGUGCGUUUGCAUUCUCGACCCAUUGAACGCGACUUGCGUUCAUACCAGACACGCAAGCCGUCCUACUUCCUCCACACGCUCGCCUAGCCAAUACUCUCUCCACGCAGACGACGCGAUGUUCAACAACCAGGAGAAAAAGGGCGCCAAGCACGCCGUCAGCACCAAGGCUGGUGCUGAGCGUCGCCAGCGUCAGCUCAUGUCAGUGCGUCACAGGGUUCACGGGGAGGUUAUGAAGCUCCUGCGCGCCGAGGGCCAGGACGACAGUGAUAUGCUUGGUGGUAACGGCAGUGUGGCGCAGGCGUCCAACCCAGAGGAUGUCUGGUCGUACGACGCCAGGUCGACACCCGCUUCGGUACCCCUGCAGCUCCUCCCCACCCUCGUGAACAUGUGCAUGAACGGGCCUACAGACCGUGAGGUGUUUCAGGGCACGCUGCUGAUCCGCAAGAUCCUCUCUGUUGAGAAAGACCCACCAUACGAUGUCGUGACAUCGAGCGGUGUUGUGCCGCACCUGGUGAACCUGCUGCAGCGCGAGGACUACCCGGAGCUGCAGUUUGAGUCGGCCUGGGCUCUGACCAACAUCGCUGCAGGCACGUCGGAGAACACGAUGAUGCUCGUCGCCUGUGGUGCGAUUCCGCGCUUCGUAGCGCUGCUGGGGUCGCCGAACGCGGACUGCCGCGAUCAGAGCGCGUGGGCCAUCGGCAACCUUUCGGGUGAGGGCGCCGCCUGCCGUGACGAGGCGCUGAGCCACGGCGCCAUGGUCGCACUGCUGAACGUGCUGAGCGUGAAGGAACAGCCGAUUCACGUUCUGCGCAACGCCACAUGGGCCGUGUCGAACUUGUGCCGCUGCAAGCCAUUGCCGCCGCUGGAGCGGGUGGCAAUCGCGCUGCCGACGCUGGUCGAUCUCCUCAACAGCUCCGAUGACCAGCUCAUCGUGGAUGCUGCAUGGGGUAUUUCGUACAUCAGCGACGGACCGGCGGAGCGUGUGCAGGCGGUGCUUGAGGCCGGCGCUGUUCCGCGCAUUGUGCAGCUCUUGUCCGUCCCGAGUACGAACGUGAAGCUGCCGGCGAUUCGCAUCAUUGGCAACAUCGCCGCCGGCACGGACGAGCAGACGCAGGUUAUCAUCAACAGUGGCGCUCUGCCGGCCAUGGCUGAGCUGCUGCGCCACCCGAAGCGCGCGCUGCGCAAGGAGACGUGCUGGACCAUCUCCAACAUUGCUGCUGGCCAGCCUUACCAGAUCGAGGCACUCGUGAACUCGAACGUUUGCAUCCCUAUCUUGGAGUGUCUUAGCGCGCCAGAGCUCGACGUGAGGAAGGAGGCGGUGUGGACCAUUGCGAACAUCACCUUCUGCGGCUCAGUGGCGCAAGUGAAGUACCUCGUCAACAUCGGCGUCAUCCCGCCACUGUGCGAGACGCUGCGCACGUACGACCCAAAGAUCGUGACGGUUGCGCUGGAGGCGGUGCAGUGCUUCCUGCAGGUCGGCGAGGAUGAGAAGACGUCGGGCGGCACGGAGGAGAACAUUGUAGCGAAACAGGUGAUGGACUGCGGCGGCGUAGACUCCAUCGAGCAGUUGCAGACGCACGCCGACAAGAACGUGUACAGCAUUGCGCUUCAGAUCCUGGAGACCUUCUUCACGACGGAGGACGAGGCGGGCCCGAUGGGCGAUUCUAUGGGCGCUGACAUGGUGGACUUUGCGCAGGGCAACCCCAACGCCGGCAGCGGUCAGUUCAACUUCUAAACGAAAAAAAAUAGGAACCCGUGCAUGAGUGGCUCUUGAGGAGGCUGGCUGGCGUGUCCGGAGGCGAAAAAGAAACGGAGUGCAACACGCGCUCACGCAGAGAAGAUAAAAGCGCUCGCUUGAGAGGGAAAGAGAGAAGGAGGGGGGAGGCAGGGUGGUGGUGGUUGCGGUGCAAAUGAAGGAGACGAGAGGAAGGGGAGACACUUCGUCGCACGGCUUCCCUUCGGUUUUCCCAUUCUAGAAUCCGGUUGAUGUUUUGCCGCCCGAGCGGUUUUUCUUUUGUUUUCCGUUCCGUUUCUCUGUGCUCGCUGGUGGCGUUUCGUGCUGGUUCACGUCUCUGUUGACGAUGUCGUCGCCGUUGUUGCUGUGGGACCCCCGUUGGGGUUCUGCACUUCUUUCCGUGCCCCCCCCUCUCCCCCCUCCCCACCCUUCUUUCGAUGAUGUAGUUUGUGAGAGGGAGAUCGCAGAGAGUGCACAGAAUCGGAGAGACACACGCGUGUGCUAAUCCGAUUCUGUACGCGGGUGGUGCGAUCGAGAAGAGACCACGUACCGUGACAUGAAGGUCGCCGUACGUCUCCGCCGUUGAUCCCGCGGCAAAGCCGGUGGGCUCUAUCAGCGGCGGAUGGGGCGGGGGGAAUCAAGUGAGGUUCUCUGUGUGCGGCAGAUGCACAGACGGAUGGCGAAGAAGGACGUGCAGAGUGCGCCUCAAAAGGACAACGCGUUGAUCGGCACUCGUGUGACGGUUUGAUGUACGUCGGUGGAGUGCCGUGAAGCCGAGAACAAAAGGGCGACUAAUACCGAGGGAGUGGCGGUUGGGUGAAGCGCGUCGGCAUGAGACAGCGAAGGGAAGGAGGGAAAUAGAGAGAGAGGGAUGCUGGCGUGUUUCAUUCGUUUGCCUGUUUAUGUCUUGCGCCACUUUUAUACGCUUGUGUGCGUGUGAGCGCAUCCACCCUCCUCCUUUGUGUUGUCGUCUCUCUCACCCCCUCUCUUUCCCGCGCCUAAUCGCUUCGCAGGUUUCUCUCCGUCUCUUCCAUAUCUUUCUCGGCUUCUUUUGGCUUCCUUCCUUCUCCAUUCGAUGCGCAUCUUUUCCGCUGCCCGUCUUGGCGCUAAAGUCUCGCCCCUCCCGCCUCUUCUUACCCUCCUUUCUUGCAUCGCUAAGGAGGGGCGCACUUGGGCAAGGAAGACAAAGUAAAGAAAAAAAGAGGACCUACUAGUGCUGCGCUAGCCAUCCCCAGCUACGGGCGCUGCUGUUCUGUGUUGGUGCAUGAUGGGGUGAAUUGCUGUCAAUUAAGUGUGUGCGCCCGCGACGUCUGUUUUCCCUUUUACCUCGCUGCAACUCGGCUCGUGCUCGUCUUCAGAGCGUCUUUGUGAGUACGUGUUCGGCUGUGAUCAUAAGUGCCUUCUAAAGUAGCCUUUAUUGGGUAUAUCCCUUCGUUUUCUCACCCCCCUCUCUCCUCCCCGCCCGUCCCGCGUACCCGCCUCUCCUUUUCGAUGCCCCUUUCCGCCCCACGGUCUUUUCCUAUUCCUCAGCGAGGAUGCGUCUGUAUGUGUCUGUGGGAGGGGGCGGGGCCUCAGACAGUCACGCAUCAAGAAGAUCCUUCAACUGAGGGAGCGACAG